rnacentral:lncRNA from 1 species
GUUUAUUGGGAGGAGCUCUCUGCUGCCCCAGGAAUGGGCUGAUUUCCUGAGUACACAUUAAUCUGAGCUCCCUCAGCCCUAGGGGUAGGGGGAUUGGGGGCACAAGAUGGGUGGAGCCAGAUAGGGAAGAUUCCCCCAGUGUUGUCCUGCUCCCAGUCCAGGUUUGGGACAAUGCCGGCAGCGUUUCCCUGUGUCUUUCCCCCACAAAGUCUCCAAGUCUUUCCUCAAAUGAUCGUCAAGGUUUGGGAGAAACAAUCUCUUCCUCUGCCCGGGUUGCGUGGAUCUCCAGUGGAAAGGCUUUAUCUACCAAGAAAUGAAUUGGAUAAUCCACAUAAACAAAAAGCUUGGAAAAUUUAUCCACCAGAAUUUGCCGUGGAGAUACUUUUUGGUAUGGUUUCUGUGGAUUCUCUGCUCUUUGUGCUCUCCUCCCCACAUUGGUGGCUCCAUCUGGCACAGGGAAGCUUCUGGAUGUCAGAAGGUGGAUUCUCACUCUGUCACCCAGGCUGGAGUGUAGUGGCACAAUCUUUGCUCACUUCAACCUCUGCCUUCUGCGUUCGAGCAAUUCUCCUGCCUCAGCCUCCCGAGUAACUGGGAUUACAGGGACAGUAAGUGGUGUUUCCUGGGAGAUGCUACGGUGUUAUUUUUGCACUACAAGGGCUCUGAAGACUGCCAGGCUUGAAGUGAAGAACCACGUCACCUGCCUAUCCCAGCCAGGUGACAGUGGACAAGGGGCUUCACCUCUGAGCUGUUUUCCAGCUGUACUGGGCACAUUCCUCCUCUCACCCUGACUCACAAGGUGUUAGCAAUAAUGGACACUCCUCUAUCUUCUGCCACACUCUGAACAAUACUUCACUUCCAUCAAAUGGAUUCAUCCCAAAGGUAAUGCCCAUCGCUUCUGGAGGGAGAAAGGGAACGGGUCACGCAUGUGGAUGAUCAAAGGUCAGCUCCUGGUCAAUAUGAGAAGACUGGUUUCAGAAAAGUUGAGUGCUGAAGACUACAAAGCUGUUUGUAAGUUAUCAAGCUAGGAUUUGAUCCCAGGUCUGCCUGAUAAAUCCUGGACUCUUAACCAUGACAUAGGAGUGCCCUCUUGACUCCUAUGAUGGCAUAAAGAAUUGUAUCAGAACGGGUAAUCUGGCAUUAAAACCCCUGUGCCACAACC